CAUGAUAUUGGUGUGUUUUAUAUACAAGUCGAGCUUCUUGACUUUGAGGAUCGGAUUUAGUAGAAUAUGACAACAAAAUUUUAUGAUUAUGAGAAAGAUGCUAAAGACCGAAUAUAAUAUAUUGGUACAUAUAUUAAAUUUGAAUAUGACAAUCGGACCAUAUGAUUUUUGGAGAUUGUUUCGAGCUCAUGUACAUGCGAUAUAUAUAUAGCAGCUGUGAUAUCCAAUAUUAUACAUAAUGUGGUGGGCGAGAUUGUGCAUAAUUCUAAUAAUUAUAAUAAAAAGAUUGUAGAGAGAGAGAGUGCGAGGAGAAUGUACCUAUGAGCUGGGAAGUAGUGCUAUAGUAACUCAAAAAAAAUUUGCUUUGGCACUUGCCACCAAUCACUUGGCUUUUUCUAAUUUCAUGAAGAGUGUUACGGCAAUGCACCACCACCGCACAGUUGAGUGACUUUUU
rnacentral:lncRNA from 1 species